UUGUUGCUUUUCCUUGAAUUCUUUCAUUCGCCAUGUUUGUAACUAACCGAAAUAAAUAAAUGGUGAUUGUAGAUUUGUAGAUGAAUUAGAAAGUCCUAUUCAUCAGAUGCUUCACUGCAUGUGUGGCCCAUGGUUUAGGGUUCCAAACUGUUGAUAUGAUGUUCCUCAUUGUGGAGGAGGAAUGCCCUGUAAUAUCCCAGGAUGUUCCAAACACUUAUCUUGGUGGUCUAAAAAUGUAGACUAAGUACAUUAACAUUCCAUAUUUCAUAAUGACAAGUCCAUAUAUCAAAGGCUUAGGAUUUUCUUAUUUGGUGUAUUUCCAGUACAUCACUCAGUUACUGUCAAGGCUGGCAGAUGAACAGUUUGAAUCGGAGAAUACCAUGGGCCCCUAAGCAGGGAACCCUGUAUGUUAGAAAGCGAAGGGCCAGGAAGACUAGCCAUACAUCUCGUGUUAUACUGUGGAACCAAACACCUAAAUCUUAAAUGUCAGCCCUAAAUACUUGUAGUUUCUAGAGAUAAGUUCACUAGAACUAUUUCUUUUCUUUGAUGUCAGUGUCUCAUGUAGAUCAGGCCAAACAGACCAUCCAUUGGUCAAACAUGGAUCUGAGGAAACACUUACGAAUUAAAGGAAUCUCUAUUAAUGGAACUUUGUUAAAAAUCAAAGAAAAAAGUCUUUCACCUGUAACAGAAGAUGAUCAUCGUAGUCAGCCUUUUAUUUAAAAUCUGUAGAUGUAAGUUUUUAGUACCAUUUGUUCCAUGCCCAAGUACAUGCAGGUUAGUAUCUCAUGGAUACAAGGAAUCAGCUAGUAUAUUUAUUAUUAUUAUUAUUUGAAAAUUACCCUGAAUGGCCCCCAUGACUGUUAGAUGCAUACUUGGAAAAAAUUUACUUGUUUCAAAUCUUGUAGCUCCCUAUUGGAAUUAACCCGGAUGAGGCGGGGUAUAAGUAUCUAUCAUAUGUUGAUCAACCCAAUAGCUUUAUAGGGUGCGAAAAGCAUAUACCAUGAUCUAAUUGUUUAAUGGUGGUUUCACCUGAUAAACUGGAUUGGAUCUCCUGUGCAUGUGCCAGGUUGGCAUGUCUAUUUGUGUAGAGAUGACUAUGGAGGGGAUUGCAAACCUCUAAGGGCUUGUGCCUGGGUAUAGUUUUUUGCCACAUUUAGUUGUAGGUUGCUUGCAAUUUUGUGUUUAGUAACUAGCAAUAUCCAUGCCAUGCCUGGACAAUCUCCUGUUGAUUUUUACAUGGAUGCUUAUUCAAGAAAUGAUGUGUGUAGAGUUGUUGGUUGACAUGAGCUGGUUUUUGGCUACAGGUAAUUGAUUAUGGAGUUUAUAAGCUUUGGAAAUACAAUAACGUUGGGCUGUUGGCUGAAAUGGAUAUUAGUUGAGAAGAUCCUGAGUAACUUUCUCAUCUUGCAAUUCUGUGGACAAGGCCCAACUAUAUUAUAUGCAGAUUAAAAGAUGCUUUGGUGUUGUUAGUUACUGGUGAAUAGAGAAGUCAUUGGUGAGUUUUUUAUGCUCUUCUAUUUUUAGUGAAUCACACCUCAGAGACAAUACAAGCAGUAGAUUCAAUUUCCCUUUGAAACAGUAGAUUCAACAAGCUUUUCUAACUAUAAGCUUCAACAAGCAGUAGAUUCUAUCGUAUGCCACUAGUAAGGAAAUAAAUGAAACUGAAGAAUAAGCUUCUAACUAUAAGCAGAUGGUGAAUCUGCAGAAUGUUCUGAAUGGCAGAUGGUGACUUCCUAACAAUAAGCUUAUAUUCCUGAAAUAUAGCAAAAUGUUCUGCUAUGGACAACCUUCGUAAACACUUGAUGGUCCUUCCAAACAUCUGUCUUCUCUGCUACGUUUUGCUUGCUUUAGCUGCCAUAUGCCAUGCUUGGUGAAGGUGGCUUCGGUCCCGUUUACAAGGGGAAGC